rnacentral:rRNA from 1 species
UACGGAGGGGGCUAGCGUUGUUCGGAAUUACUGGGCGUAAAGCGCGCGUAGGCGGAUCUGCAAGUCGGGGGUGAAAUCCCGAGGCUCAACCUCGGAACUGCCUUCGAUACUGCGAGUCUCGAGUCCGGGAGAGGUGAGUGGCAAUUCCUAGUGUAGAGGUGAAAUUCGUAGAUAUUAGGGUGAAGAACACCGGUGGCGAAGGCGGCUCAUCUGGCUCGUAUCUGACGCUCAGG